GUUUUUAAUUAAUGUGGUUUUUAUUUGAAGCUUUAAAAGUGACACAAAAACACCAUAAACUUGGUUACACCAUUGAUGUAGCUUACAGCUGUUGAGAUGAAUAACCUACUGACAUCCAUCUAAUUUUCCUACGCUUAUUUGAGUUAAUUUAUGUGACAAUAUCCAUUCUAAAAAAACAAAGAAAAACAAAAUUUGGAUUAAAAUAUUAUAAUAAGUUAAUAGCUGAUGCCAUUACAAACCCUAUUUAAAUGAUCUGAUCACAAAUUAGACUGAUCUGGUCCUCAAGUUCCACUGACCCUUUACCGGGAGUUUGAUUGACAGGUGAUCUGACCAAUCAUAAUGCCAAAUCUAAAAGUUUGUCUGACAAACAAACCAGACCAGUGCAGCCUGCCGCUCAGCUGAACCUCCUGAUUUAUUGGACCCUCACAGCAGGGAGACUAGAAGAAUCUUUCUCUGCUUUCCUUACUGAAAACUGAGCUGUUACUUGAACUGCUCCACAUGACUGGGUGCUGAUGUGAGCUGUAGCCUGGAUAAAGAACAGACCUGUUUUUGUAACAAAAAAAAAAAAAAACAAUAUUCUCACCCCACAGCAUAAACAACUACAAAAAAGACCAUAGCAUUACAAUAAUUUAAAAAAAUUAAUGGUCAAACAAGGGGAACCUUAUUCCAAACCUCAGGAGCUCCAGUAAUGUCAAUUUUUCCAGGUCGUUGGGCCUUCAGGGUGGACAGUGGACCAAAGUCAAAAAAAGAUCAAACAGGAGCUGGUCAAGUACGGUCUGCCAAACAGUGUUGAGCUGAAAUUAAGAAAGUUGCAAAGGACGAAGCCAUAAUAUCAGUCUCCUUCAGGAAAAUAAAUAAAACAGUCCUGUAUCUAAUUGAUCGUGUGAAGAAUCUAGUUUUUAAUUAAUGUGGUUUUUAUUUGAAGCUUUAAAAGUGACACAAAAACACCAUAAACUUGGUUACACCAUUGA
rnacentral:lncRNA from 1 species